rnacentral:rRNA from 1 species
CCCGGACCUUGUGCACACCGCCCGUCAAGCCAUGGAAGCCGGGAGGACCUGAAGCCAGUAGCUGUGAGGCGCUGUUUAGGGUAAAACCGAUGACUGGGGCU